AGGUUGGGAUUGGUUGCAAUGCUGUCCUAUUUAUGUAGUAUUGCACUUGUCCCGGCCUGU
rnacentral:pre_miRNA from 1 species